rnacentral:rRNA from 1 species
AAGAGAGGGGAAAACCGGGGGGGGCUAUCAUGCAGUCGAGCGGAAGAUGGGAGCUUGCUCCCUGAUGUUACCGGCGGACGGGUGAGUAACACGUGGGUAACCUGCCUGUAAAACUGGGAUAACUCCGGGAAACCGGGGCUAAUACCGGAUGGUUGUUUGAACCGCAGGGUUCAAACAUAAAAGGUGGCUUCGGCUACCACUUACAGAUGGACCCGCGGCGCAUUACCUAGUUGGUGAGGUAACGGCUCACCAAGGCAACGAUGCGUAGCCAACCUGAGAGGGUGAUCGGCCACACGGGGACUGAAACACGGCCCAAACUCCUACGGGAGGCAGCAGUAGGGAAUCUUCCGCAAUGGACAAAAGUCUGACGGACCACCGCCCCGGGAGUGAUGAAGGUUUUCGGAUCGUAAAGCUCUGUUGUUAGGGAAAAACAAGUGCCGUUCAAAUAGGGCGGCACCUUGACGGUACCUAACCAAAAAGCCACGGCUAACUACGUGCCAGCAGCCGCGGUAAUACGUAGGUGGCAAGCGUUGUCCGGAAUUAUUGGGCGUAAAGGGCUCGCAGGCGGUUUCUUAAUUCUGAUGUGAAAGCCCCCGGCUCAACCGGGGAGGGUCAUUGAAAACUGGGGAACUUGAGUGCAGAAGAGGAGAGUGAAAUUCCACGUGUAGCGGUGAAAUGCGUAGAGAUGUGGAGGAACACCAGUGGCGAAGGCGACUCUCUGGUCUGUAACUGACGCUGAGGAGCGAAAGCGUGAGAGCGAACAGGAUUAGAUACCCUGGUAGUCCACGCCGUAACGAUGAGUGCUAAGUGUUAGGGGUUGCGCCCCUAGUGCUGCAGCUACGCAUUAAGCACUCCGCUGAGGAGUACGGUCGCAGGACUGAAUCUCAAGUAUUGACGGAGCCGCACAGCGAGCAGCAUGGUGGAUUAACUG